ensembl:lncRNA
CUUCCAGUAUCCUCUUCUCUGUUUAGCAUUGAGACUGCCUACUAUUAAACCGCGUCUGUUGUUUCGAAGGACUCUGAGCCCGAGGAGGAGUCUGACUCGAGGGGCAGACACCGAGGCAGAAAGAGGCAGUCGACGAGGGAAGACUCGAAACAGAGGCACAAACGGCUCAAACUGAAACCAGCAAGAAGUACGAGCGAGGAAGAGGAGGAAUCGGACGAGGAAGGAGACGCCGGUGUGUCCGACGCGGAAAGGAGACCAGUCCGUAAAAACCUGAACCGUAUCGAAUCGGAUGAGGAAGAAGAGGACGGGGCGGAGAAAAGACCAAUGAGAAAGAUGGCCGGAAAGCAGGCCAGCAGAGUUACAGACUGCAGGGAGAUGAGUGUGAAGGCACACACUAGAGGCUCGAAGGACUCGAUGCUGAAGCACAACGGCCUGCUCCCUCCAAGAUCUUCAGCUCAGGAUGAAGAUGAUGACGAUGAGGAGGAGGAAGAGGAGGAUGAGGAGGAUGACCUCACCGCCACUACAGACUUUGUUAACUUUGUUUUUGACAGCGAACAGUUAUCGUGAUGUGCUGAAGAAAUUUCAUAUAUUAUUUUCUCAUUGCCUUUUUUUUUUUUUUUUAAGGUUUGUUUGUUUGUUUGUUUGUUUGUUUUUUUGAGUGUACUGGACCAAUCCAAGCUUCCAGAGGAAUUUUCACACGAUGUCUAAACAUACUUUAGUUACAUACAUCAUGCACAUGUCAGAUGUAGAGCAGGGUCUCGGUGCACAUCCUGAUUUUUUUAUGAGUGAAAGGUGCGAAAUUUGAAAGUUAGAUUUGAUCAGCUAGUCGCAAACUUGAUCAUAUGACUAGUUUCUCUAAGGUUAGC